UGGGGAAUUUCUGGCAAUGGGGGAAACCCUGACCAAGCAACGCCGCGUGGAUGAUGAAGUAUCUCGGUACGUAAAAUCCUUUCGACAGGGAAGAAACCCGCAAGGGUUGACGGUACCUGUAGAAGAAGCCCCGGCUAACUCCGUGCCAGCAGCCGCGGUAAUACGGGGGGGGCAAGCGUUGUUCGGAAUUACUGGGCGUAAAGGGCGCGUAGGCGGUUUGCUAAGUUGGACGUGAAAACUCUGGGCUUAACCCAGAGCCUGCAUCCAAAACUGGCAAGCUGGAGUUUUGGAGGGGGAAGCGGAAUUCCUGGUGUAGCAGUGAAAUGCGUAGAUAUCAGGAGGAACACCGGUGGCGAAGGCGGCUUCCUGGACAAAAACUGACGCUGAGGCGCGAAAGCUAGGGGAGCAAACAG
rnacentral:rRNA from 1 species